UCUUUGAAUAUACUUUUAUUUUACUUGUGGUAAAUAUAAAUGUUUUAACUUUUUAUUAUGGCAAAUUUCCAAUAUAUACUAAAGCAGACAGAACAAUAUAAUGAACCCUCAUAUACCUAUCAUUCAGUUUCAACAAUUAUGAAUUCACAACCAAUAGUUUAUAAUGAUUUGACAAAUGCCUAUGAUAUAUGAACCAUGUAUCAGGUCCCAAGCCAGGCCCUAGGGAUCUAAAGACGAAUCAGAUUUGACUGCAUCUCACCUGGAGGAAAUGACAUCUGACCUGGGUUCUUGAAAGAUGAAGAAGAAUUACCCAGAAGAACAAAAGUGUCCUCAUUCAUUCAUUCAUUCAUUUUCUUUCAUCAAAUAAUUACUAUGUAUGAGGUACUGUCCUUGGUGCUAGCAACAGGUCAAGAAACAAGAUACAGUUCCGUCUCUCAUACAGCUUGAAAUUUAACAGGGGAAAGAGACAUUAAAUAUGUAAUUAGGAAUGUGAUGAGUGUCUUGAAGGAGAUGUACCGGGAGCUAUGUGAGUGGGCUUAAUUUGGCCUGGGAAGUUUAGGAGGCUUUCAUAGGAAGUGACAAUUCAGUGAGGGAAAGGGAUGAAGGAGCUAGAGGUCAGCCAGGAGAAGAGAAAAGUAUUCCAAGUAGCAGGAGAAAUACAGGAAGGUCAGUAUGGGUGUUGAUAUAGUUUGGAUAUUUGUCCCUGAUCAAAUCUCAUGUUGAAUUGUAAUCCCCAAUGCUGGAGGUGGGGUCUGGUGGGAGGUGUUCAGGUCGUAGGGGUGGAUCUCUCAUGGCUUGGUGCUGUCUUCCCCAUGAUGAGUGAGUUCUUGUGAGAUCCGGUUAUUUAAAAGUGUGUGGCAUGGCCAGGCGUGGUGGCUCAGGCCUGUAAUCCCAGCACUUUGGGAGGCCAAGGUGGGCAGAUCAACUUGAGACCAGGAGUUCGAGAACAGCCUGGUCCACAUGGUGAAAU
rnacentral:lncRNA from 10 species